rnacentral:rRNA from 1 species
AUUGAACGCUAGCGGGAUGCUUUACACAUGCAAGUCGAACGAGUGGCGGACGGGUGAGUAAUGUCUGGGAAACUGCCUGAUGGAGGGGGAUAACUACUGGAAACGGUAGCUAAUACCGCAUACUAUCGGAUGUGCCCAGAUGGGAUUAGCUAGUAGGUGGGGUAAAGGCUCACCUAGGCGACGAUCCCUAGCUGGUCUGAGAGGAUGACCAGCCACACUGGAACUGAGACACGGUCCAGACUCCUACGGGAGGCAGCAGUGGGGAAUAUUGGACAAUGGGCGAAAGCCUGAGUCAGCCAUGCCGCGUGUGUGAAGAAGGCCCUCGGGUUGUAAAGUACUUUAAGUCGGGAGGCGUUACCGACAGAAGAAGCACCGGCUAACUCCGUGCCAGCAGCCGCGGUAAUUC